UGAGGAAUAUUGGUCAAUGGACGAGAGUCUGAACCAGCCAAGUAGCGUGAAGGAUGACUGCCCUAUGGGUUGUAAACUUCUUUUAUAUGGGAAUAAAGUAUUCCACGUGUGGGAUUUUGUAUGUACCAUAUGAAUAAGGAUCGGCUAACUCCGUGCCAGCAGCCGCGGUAAUACGGAGGAUCCGAGCGUUAUCCGGAUUUAUUGGGUUUAAAGGGAGCGUAGGUGGAUUGUUAAGUCAGUUGUGAAAGUUUGCGGCUCAACCGUAAAAUUGCAGUUGAAACUGGCAGUCUUGAGUACAGUAGAGGUGGGCGGAAUUCGUGGUGUAGCGGUGAAAUGCUUAGAUAUCACGAAGAACUCCGAUUGCGAAGGCAGCUCACUAGACUGCAACUGACACUGAUGCUCGAAAGUGUGGGUAUCAAACAGGAUUAGAUACCCUGGUAGUCCACACAGUAAACGAUGAAUACUCGCUGUUUGCGAUAUACAGUAAGCGGCCAAGCGAAAGCAUUAAGUAUUCCACCUGGGGAGUACGCCGGCAACGGUGAAACUCAAAGGAAUUGACGGGGGCCCGCACAAGCGGAGGAACAUGUGGUUUAAUUCGAUGAUACGCGAGGAACCUUACCCGGGCUUAAAUUGCAUUUGAAUAUAUUGGAAACAGUAUAGCCGCAAGGCAAAUGUGAAGGUGCUGCAUGGUUGUCGUCAGCUCGUGCCGUGAGGUGUCGGCUUAAGUGCCAUAACGAGCGCAACCCUUAUCUUUAGUUACUAACAGGUCAUGCUGAGGACUCUAGAGAGACUGCCGUCGUAAGAUGUGAGGAAGGUGGGGAUGACGUCAAAUCAGCACGGCCCUUACGUCCGGGGCUACACACGUGUUACAAUGGGGGGUACAGAAGGCAGCUACCUGGUGACAGGAUGCUAAUCCCGAAAGCCUCUCUCAGUUCGGAUUGGAGUCUGCAACCCGACUCCAUGAAGUUGGAUUCGCUAGUAAUCGCGCAUCAGCCACGGCGCGGUGAAUACGUUCCC
rnacentral:rRNA from 1 species